rnacentral:sRNA from 1 species
UCUAUGGAGUGUUAUAUCAAACGAAAGUAGCUUAGGCGAAAUCGGACAUUAUGAAGUAGGAA